rnacentral:rRNA from 1 species
AUGGGGCUGAUGGCGCUGAAUCGGCUCAUCUCCAGGCAGCGGGAGCAGAAGCAGAAGCGAAAUCGUGGCCGUAUUGAAGCCAAUAAUGGAUGGCUUGCUUCAUCAUUAGCUAAAAGAAACAGAUCGCCCUGCCAACAGGAUGUUAAUUCUCAUGGUGGCAAAAAAGUAAGAUAUCCAGGACCAGAUCUUCCAGAGGACAUCUGGCGUCAUAUACAUUUCCUACUGCCAAUGCAAGAUGCUGCCCGUGCUGCCUGUAUCUCUCAGUCCUUUCGAAGCUCCUGGAAAUGCUAUCCCAAUCUUACCUUCACUAAUGAAACAAUGUGCUCCAAAGAAGAUUUGUGUAAGAGAACAACAGGCUCAAAUGUUAUAAGAGACUACAACAACAAAAUUGACCAUGUUUUAAGAAACCACUCAGGAGCUGGUGUGAAGAAAUUGAGGCUUGAAUACUAUGUUAUUCCUCAUGAUGCAGAACCGUAUCAUCAUCUCACCAGUUGGCUCCAGAUUGCGGUUACACCAGGGAUUGAACAACUCCACCUUACACUAUCCCCGAGGGAUGCAACUUUUAACUUUCCAUGCAUGCUUCUCUCUGAGAUAUGUCAUGGCUCUAUUCAGUAUCUUCACCUUGCCAAUUUGGACUUACAUCCCACAUUUCAACUUGGUUUGAGAACCCUGAAAACGCUGCACCUGUAUAAUGUGCAUAUUACGGGGGAUGAGUUAGGGUGCCUUCUAUCCCAUUCCUUUGCUUUGGCACACUUGAGACUUCAAUAUUGUCAUGACAUCAUUCGCCUGGAGAUACCUUGUCUGCUGCAGCGGCUCAGGUUCCUGGAGGUGCUUGAAUGUAGCCUUGAGGUGUUAGAGAUCAAUGCUCCAAAUAUCUCCAGAUUCCGCUUAAUGGAUUUUAAUGUGCAACUCUCGUUUGGAAAGUCACGGAAGAUGAAGAAUCUGAUGUUGAACAAUAGCUGUGGCAUCAGUUAUGCUAUUGACAACCUUCCUUCCUGUGCGCCAAAAGUUGAGACUCUUACCAUACAUUCUAGUUAUGAGGUAAUUAAUGCACCAGUGGCAUCUAGCAAAUUUCGCCACCUCAAGAUCUUGAUUAUUUAUCUAUUGGGACUCCAUUCUCAUCGGGACUAUGAUUAUUUAUCCUUAGUUUCUCUUUUUGAUGCUUCUCCUUUGUUGGAGAAGUUUGUCUUGUUUGUAUCACCUGUGCAGUCCAAGUAUGACUGGUUUGAGGGAGAUCUCUCAUCUCUGAGACAAAUGUCAGAACACCGCCAUCACAACCUCAAAAAUGUGAAGAUCAGUGGUUUCUGCCCCCAAAAAAGCAUGGUUGAGCUAGCACGUCAUAUUCUUGAGAAUGCAACAUCACUUGAGUGCCUUACAUUGGACACCACUCCUAUUAGCUACCGGUGUUCUGGUGAUAUAUUGGACAGGAAAUGCCCUCCACUGGAAACUGCAUAUAUAAGGGAUGCAUAUAAAUCAAUCUUGGCUGUGAGAACAUACAUUGAAGGGAAAGUUAACUCCACAGUCAAGUUAAACUUACUAGGGCCUUGCAGCCGGUGUUAUGCUUUGUGA